rnacentral:lncRNA from 1 species
GAUUUUCUUGAACCGGGUUAGGUUGAUUUUUCUUUAAUAUUUUAUAGGGCCCUUAGGACUCUCUUGGGAUAAGAUGGGUGAGGCCAAGAAUGCAUCCCGUAGUGCUCAUACCUAUAAAUAACUAAAACGAACUUGAGGGUGCGACAUCUAGGCUCACUUGUAGACUCUUAAUCUUAUGCCUUAAUUUUGCACACCUUAUCUUACUUGAAUGCUCACGUGAGUGUGUUGACAAACUAAUUCAGAAUGAGUUACAUGCCAAGUGUGUGUAAGGUAAUACAUUUAUUCUAUACUUGCAUUUGAUGCCUAGAACAUGCCAUGUGUGUUUGCAAAGCGAAAUAGUAGUGUUGUUCAGUCUUAGAAGUGAUUUAGGCGUUUUCUUGUUGAGACAGAUAUGUAUAUUUUAUCCACCUAAUUGUUAUGUAUCGUAGUUAAUCCCUUUGACUAUGUAAUCAUGUUUCUUUGGCAAACGCAUUACAAGCCUAACAUAUUUGUUUGAAUUAUCCAUCUAUUUGAACCUUUUCACCUCUCACGAGCACUUGAAUUGUUAUUAACUUUGUAAAAGUUAAAGUGUGGGAUGGUUGGGUUGGAUUUUGACUGAAACUAAUUGAAUAAGGAAAAAGGUGCACUGUUUUGAAAAAGGAAGAGCCACUUGAAUUGAAAAUAAAUAGUUGGAUUGUUGUAAAAAAAAGUUUCCUUGAUAAGUAGUAACUUUUGACGUAAGUGUGCUUAAAGAAGAAUGAGGUAAUUUAUAUUGAUGUAAAGGUGGAAUUUUGGCUUGACAUAAGUAUGGGGUUUAAAUGUUAAAAUGUUGUAUUAAAGUGCUUAGGGAGGUGUAGUCACUCUUAUAUCUAAACGUAUCCUACUGGUCCUGUAGCCUACAUUACAACCAAAUAAUGUCCUAAUUGAUCCAAGAUUGAAUGAACUCGAUUAGUAGAGUAUUACACUAAGGGCAAGUUUAUUGUGUAGUCACUUAUAGUAAAUGUAUCCUACCCGUCAUGUAGCCUACAUUACAACCAAAUAAAGUCCUAAUAGAUCCAAGAUUGAAUGAACUCGAUUAGUAGAGUAUUACACUAAGGGCAAGCUUAUGGUGUAUCUGUGUGGCAUGUGAAUGUUUUUUGGUGAGAGUGAGUGAAUGCUCACGUGAGUGUGUUGACAAACUAAUUCGAAAUGAGUUACUUUCCAAGUGUGUGUGAGGUAAUACAUUUAUUCUAUACUUGCAUUUGAUGCCUAUAACUUGCCCUGUGUGUUUGCAAGGCGAAAUAGUAGUAUUAUUCAGUCUUGGAAGUGAUAUAGGCAUUUUCUUGUUGAGACAGAUAUGUAUAUUUUAUCCACCUAAUUGUUAUGUAUCGUAGUUAAACCCUUUGAGCCUGUAAUCAUGUUUCUUUGGCAACCACAUUACAUGCCUUACCUAUUUGUUUGAAUUAACCAUCUAUUUGAACCUUUUCACCUGUCAUGAGCACUUGAAUUGUUACGAACUUUGUAAAAGUUAAAGUGUGGGAUGGUUGAGUUGGUUUUUGAGUGGAACUAAUUGAAUAAGGAAAAAGGUGCACUGUUUUGAAAAGGGAAGAGCCACUUGAAUUGAAAAAAACAUAGUUGUAUUGUUGUGAAAAAAAAGCUUCCUUGAUAAGUGGUGACUUUUGGUGUAAAUGUGCUUAAAGAAGAAUAGGGUAAUUUACAUUGAUGUGAAGGUGGAAUUUUGGCUUGACAUAAGUAUGGGGUUUAAAUGUUAAAAUGUUGUAUUAAAGUGCUUAGGGAGGUGUAGUCACUCUUAUAUCUAAACGUAUCCUACUGGUCCUGUAGCCUACAUUACAACCAAAUAAUGUCCUAAUUGAUCCAAGAUUGAAUGAACUCGAUUAGUAGAGUAUUACACUAAGGGCAAGUUUAUGGUGUAUCUGUGUGGCAUGUGAAUGUUUUUUGCUGAGAGUGAGUGAAUUUGUUCUAUCUAUAGUUCUUUGUUGUUUGAUUUUAUGUGUGUGGAACUUCUCUAAAAAAUGUGAUGUGGGGACAUUUAACUCAGGAAGAAAAAGAAAGUCUUCACCUCUGCUUAGAGUACAUAGAGUAAGCACGAGUGUGGCAUGGCAUUAGAGUCUUCAUAAGUAAGAAAAAGCAAGUCUACACCUCUUUUUAGAUUACAUAAAGUAAGCACGAGUAUGGAAUAACAUUAGAGUCUUCACCUGAGGUGUGGCUGUUGCACUGCUUAGGUUAUUCUUUCAUAAUGGCGAGUGCGACAUAAACAGGGUAAUGCAUCAAAUGACUAGGCUUAGAAGUGUGGUUCAACUUGCUCGAGGACGAGCAAAGAUUUAAGUGUAGGGUGUUGAUAAUAGGUGAAUUAGACUAUAAUUAUGCUUUAAAGAACCACAUUUUUGUAUAACUUUUACGGUAAAAAGUGAUAACAAAAUGCUCUGAUUAGUGCUUUUCAUGCAUUGCAGGUUAUAUCUAAUAAAAGAAGUCUGUGGAGUACUUUUGGGAUCAAUUACGG